CUCCGAUCCGCACAAUUUCUUUUCUUGAUUAUAGCAAGAAAAUGCUCCCUGCCUGUGGCACUGCAUCCUCCCAGGAACAGGCAGCUGGCCGACAGUUGGGCUGUGCAGAGCCUGGGCAUGCCGGGGUUAUUCGCUGCUUCCAUCGCUUCACUUGGCAGAAAACGCUGCUUGCUGGCGUCUGUGCAGGAGAUGCAGCCAAGAACUGGGAUCCUGCUCCCUCUGCAUGCCCAGGCUGGCUGCCUCAGGAUGCCUGACCUCCUUUUGGGUGCUGAGGAAGGGAAAACUGCAAUUAGAAAGAUUUCUGAGCCUGGAUUUUUUUGGGAGGAAGGUGGCUGCCUGGUUUCUGAGCAUCACCACAACCAGGCCUGGAGGAGGAGGAGCCCUGUGCAGCAUCCCUGGAGGAAGAGGAACACUACAGCGUCCUUGGAAGGAGGGGAGCCCUGUGCAGCAUCCCUGGAAGUGACAACCUUUGCCAAAGCUUGCAGCCCACCACAUUGCACACAAGAUCUCACAGCCACCUCUGUGCUUCGCCAAGGCUUUUGCUGCCCAGCAGAAAGAACAAGGCUCUUCUCUCAUCCAAGCUGAGGCUGUUUCCCAGGCUGCUUGCCCUGAACACCUCCACCUCUGCCCUUUGCCAGCGACCCCUCUCCUUGGCCCAUGGAGCCCGUGGAUCUGCAAGCUCAGGGGAAGGAUAAGGAAAGGCUCACGACAGAAUGGCCCUUCGUGGAGCGCUCGAGCUGGAGAAAUAAGGUUAAAGGCUCUUAUCUGAUGGAGCUGCAGCCUUGCCAAAGCCUGUUGCUAUCAGCUCGGGACACAUGUGCUAUUGGCAAAGCUUCGGGGACACAAUAAUACAAACAGUUUUCAUUGUCGAGUCAACAAUGAUGGGAGAAGGAGCCUGGUGCUAUUACCGGUAUAAAAGGCACUGUAGGAAAGCUCAGGACAGGAGGAUGCAGUCGGGAUCAACAGCAGGGUUUAGCAGAUUACAGUUAUAUUUGUAUUCG
rnacentral:lncRNA from 1 species